rnacentral:rRNA from 1 species
GACGAACCGUCCAAACGUUAUUCGGAAUCACUGGGCUUACAGAGUUCGUAGGCGGUCUGGAAAGUUGGGUGUGAAAUCCCUCGGCUCAACCGAGGAACUGCGCUCAAAACUACCCGACUCGAGGGAGAUAGAGGAAAGCGGAACUGAUGGUGGAGCGGUGAAAUGCGUUGAUAUCAUCAGGAACACCGGUGGCGAAGGCGGCUUUCUGGGUCUUACCUGACGCUGAGGAGCGAAAGCCAGGGGAGCAAACGGG